rnacentral:misc_RNA from 1 species
ACCACAACAAUAGAAAGUCAAUCUUCAGACAAUAAGGUAAACCCCCUGGACAUUUCUAUUUAUUAUGUUGAGAAUAAACUCUCUCAUCUAUGAACUUGUGGCUUGAAUAGCUUUGAGUGGAUACCUGGGUAUUCAAUUCAUUCACAUGUGAGACAUUGGAUUUUCAAGGGGUUAAAAGCUUAGUUGGGUAGGUGGAGAAUGGUGUCUAAAUUGGGGGAGUGUUUUCUGCUGUUGUGA